rnacentral:lncRNA from 1 species
AUAUCUAUAAUAAUAUCAAUGGGUGUAAUAUCUAUGGGUUAACCCUAACCCAGAGCCCUUUACAAUUACUGACUGAGAUUAAGGUAAUGUGCGUGCCUAAAGACACGACUGUCUACUGAUACCAAUCGUUUCAAUUCAGUACCCACUGCACUGAGUUCUGUGUUUAUAAUUCGUGUACUUCAUUGUACUUGAAUCUCUUCAAGUAAGGGUAUUGCUACAGUGAAAUAAAAUAGUGGAUAUGAAACGAGGAGUCAGGAGCUUAUUUCCAGCAAAAUAAGAUUGUACUCCUGUCCAGCAGCAGCAUAUGGAUAAAGCUUAAAGCAUGUGACUGUUUCUAUAACUAUACUACAGUUCCUCCUUCCCACCCCCGUGUGUCUCUCUUUCUCUUUAUCUUACACUGAAGCUCCAUCAAUAAACCUAGGCCUCCUGUAAUGAAUACAAGAUUUCAAACUCUCGUCAAAUUAUAUUUCUGUUAAAUAUAGAUUUAAUCUUAUUUUUAACAAAUAUUGUUUAUUUUUCUUAUUUUCAAUAGCUCAGGAUGCUUCUUUUCAACUGCCUUGGAUGCACUUUCAGGAUUACUUAACAGGACUGAUUACCUAAAAAUUAAGAAAAAUAAUACUUUUCAAAAUUGUACCAAGCAACUGCUUAAAAA